UACGUAGGGACCGAGCGUUGUCCGGAAUCAUUGGGCGUAAAGAGCGUGUAGGCGGCCUGUUAAGUCUUGCGUGAAAUCUCGGGGCUCAACCCCGAGCGGUCGUGAGAAACUGGCAGGCUAGAGUCCGGAAGAGGAGAGUGGAAUUCCUGGUGUAGCGGUGAAAUGCGCAGAUAUCAGGAAGAACACCCGUGGCGAAGGCGGCUCUCUGGGACGGUACUGACGCUGAGACGCGAAAGCGUGGGGAGCGAACAGG
rnacentral:rRNA from 1 species